rnacentral:rRNA from 1 species
GACGAACGCUGGCGGCGUGCUUAACACAUGCAAGUCGAACGGAAAGGCCCUGCUUUUGUGGGGUGCUCGAGUGGCGAACGGGUGAGUAACACGUGAGUAACCUGCCCUUGACUUUGGGAUAACUUCAGGAAACUGGGGCUAAUACCGGAUAGGAGCUCCUGCUGCAUGGUGGGGGUUGGAAAGUUUCGGCGGUUGGGGAUGGACUCGCGGCUUAUCAGCUUGUUGGGGGGGUAGUGGCUUACCAAGGCUUUGACGGGUAGCCGGCCUGAGAGGGUGACCGGCCACAUUGGGACUGGGAUACGGCCCAGACUCCUACGGGAGGCAGCAGUGGGGAAUAUUGCACAAUGGGCGGAAGCCUAAUGCAGCAACGCCGCGUGCGGGAUGACGGCCUUCGGGUUGUAAACCGCUUUCGCCUGUGACGAAGCGUGAGUGACGGUAAUGGGUAAAGAAGCACCGGCUAACUACGUG